GCCCUGGUCGCUCAAAGGUCAGAGCACUUGUCUGAAAAACAAGGUCUUCCAAGACAUCUGGGUUCGAGCCCCAGCCAGGGCG
rnacentral:tRNA from 1 species